AUACGGAGGAUGCGAGCGUUAUCCGGAUUUAUUAGGUUUAAAGGGUGUGUAGGCGGUAUUUUAAGUCAGUGGUGAAAUCUCGGAGCUUAACUUCGAAACUGCCAUUGAUACUGGAAUACUUGAGUAUAGUUGAGGGAGGCGGAAUAUGUAAUGUAGCGGUGAAAUGCAUAGAUAUUACAUAGAACACCGAUUGCGAAGGCAGCUUACUAAACUAUUACUGACGCUGAUGCACGAGAGCGUGGGGAGCGAACAGGAUUAGAAACCCUAGUAGUCC
rnacentral:rRNA from 1 species